rnacentral:lncRNA from 1 species
AACUGGUGAGUCUGAUCGAAUUUUAACCAAAAUUGAUUUUUUGUUCAAAUCGAACCGGAGAGCCAACCGGUUUCUGUUUGUACUAGUUGAAUAGACGGUUCGGUUCAGAUAUAAUAACCUUGGAUUGUCUGAUAUAAAUAAUAUCAAAUAUUUUUAUUUAAAAAUAACCGCUUGAAAUGAUUUAUAAGACUUAUAAGUUAAAAUAAGGGGCUGUUUGUUUAACAUUAAAUGGCUGAAUCAGUGGAUGUCUAAAUGACUGACUGAUCUAGCCAUUUAGUGAGUUUGUUUUAGAAAAAAAAAUCUUGUGGAUGACUAAAUCUCAUUUUCUUAGAUGAAUUGACUGAAUGACGUUUGAAUGAUUUUUUUUAUAAUAUUAAUUAUUAUAUUAAAUAAUAUUAAAUAUAUUUAUAAUAAUUUUAAUUUUUUUAGAGAAAUAAAAUAAUAAAAAUUUGUUAUCUAUGAAUAAAUGUUAAUUAUGAACCAAUUUUUUUUUCUUUCAAAUUUUAUCGAACGCCCUCCGAACAAGUUAGCAUCGUCAACCUAAAAUGAGAAGACAGUCGAAAGAAAGAGGCGAGUAGAGUUGUUGUGGGACGAGAUAAUAUAGAGAAGGGAUAGAUAGGUAGGGAUGCCAAGAUUCUCAAUUGGAAAUUCUUCCUCUGAAGACGAGGAAGGACUCAAUUUUUUUCAACGCAGGCCCAAUAAACAUAGGAUUGUUAUUCCUGCCCAACGUGUUCCUCCCAUAGUAACACACACAAACAGCAGUCGCAACAACAACAGCACUAGUAUCGCCGAAGAAGAAGAAGAUGAUUUAGUUGGCGUUGAUUCCAGAUCAAUUGAAGAUGAGGAAGUUGGGGAUCAACUAGAAAAUGAUGAAGGAGAUGGUUUAAUUGGUGAAGAAGAUGAAGAACAACAGGAGGAAGAAGAAGAAUCAUGGAUUAGGGAUGAGUUGUGUAGUGGGCUGACGUUCAAAAAGCGCAAAGAUCGAGAUAGAGAGGGACCCAGUGAUGAUAAUGCCCCCAUUUCUGUAACCCUAACCGACCCAGAUGUGUUGGACUGCCCAAUCUGCCUUGAAUCCUUGGCCGCCCCCGUCUUCCAGGUCUCUCUCUAUUUAGCAAAUCGUUUUUUUUCCUCUUUCAUUUGUGUAAUUUGGUUAUGAGUUACUUUAUAGAGCACAAUAAUUCUGGUACGAUGUUGAAUUGCAUAAUGGAUCGUGUAGUUUUAGGUCUAAUAGAUUUUAUGGCCAUAUCCAUUUUACUACGGUAAAUUAGGCUAAGUUCUGCAGCUUCUUGUUUAUUGCCAAUAUGCUAAUUGGUUCAUGCUCUCACCCUGUUUGUGAGUUUUUAAAACUAAGGAAAGGAUAGGAAAGCCAAGGAAAAUUGUAAUUUUUCUUAAAAAUCCCAUUUUUGUGAGUUUUUUUAGUUAGGAAAGGUAAGGAAAGUAAAGGAAAAUUGAACCCAAUUUUCCUUAGAAAUUUUCUUGACCAAAAUGGUAGGAAAGCAAAGGAAAUGAAAACGGGUUUAAUGAAUUUAUUUUAAUUCCAUAAUUACCCUUGCAAUACAUAAGUAUUCCUUAUUACUUAUUUUAAAAUUUCUUAAAGUUAAAAUAUAAGUUGACUUUAAGUUGUGACUUAUAAGUAAAAGCAUCAAUUUGACUUAUAAGUCAGAAAUGAAGUUAAAACAAGUUAUGAAGGUGUUCGGCUCAUAAUGACUUAUAAGUUAGAAUCAAAUGUAAAGAUUAGUAAAAAGGACAUUAAUAAAAAGAGGGGCAAAAUAUAAGAGGGGCAAAAUAGACAUUACAUUUGGUCAAAUUAACUUAUUUUAAAAUGAUUUAUAAAUCAUUUUAAAAUAAGUUACAAAUACUUGGUUAUUUUUUUACAAAAAAAUCGACUUAUAAGUAGAAAAAUAAGUCAUUGCCAAACAGAGGAAUAGUGACAAAUGACUUGUAAGGUUGUCAAACCAACUUAUAAGUCACUGCCGAACAUGCUCUAAGCAUGUUAUAUUCAAUAUGUAAGGGUACAAUAGUAAUAAUAUAUAUUCCUUUGUUUUCCUGAGCAACUCACAAACAUGGGAUAGGAAAAUUGUUAUAUUUUCUUUACUAAACUCACAAAUAGAACUAAGGAAAGUUACUUUCCUAUCAUUUCUUGAAUUAAAAAUCCUUAGGAAUUCUAGUAUGGAAAACUCACAAACAGAUAAGGGUAACCCAUUGUGGAGGCAGGUGGUCCAGUAUGGGCAUUAGACAACCUAUUACUCCACUAGAUUUUAGGUGCUUGUAGUGAAAACUAAACAGAAUGGAAUUCCUAGGAGAACGGCACCUAGUGUUCUGUUAGAAUCAUCCCAAAGGAGAGGGAUUCCUGCUUACUACAAUAAAGAGAAAUCGAGGGCACAGGAUGGAGAAGCUUUAUUACUCAUUUGAUAUUGCAAGAUUUUCUAGUUCUGACUUCUGAAACUUUUUUGAAUUACAGGUCAUAAUGUAGGUGAAGAAGGUGAGGGGUUAUUUGUUUUUGUUAGCUUGCCAAUCAUACAAGAAAAAUGUUUGCACAUGUUAGUAACUUUUUGCUUCUUUGGCAAUGAAUGAACGAUUGAAGAUGGAGAAAGUUACUACCUUUUCUCCAAAUUUGAGGAGUUUUUUAUACUUUAAAAAAAUGGAGAUGACACAUUUGAAGAAAUAUCUGAUUGGCUGUGUUUUUCGAAAUAGAGAAGAAAGAGUAGUUCUAGGCUCCUAGCAUCUAUCAUUACAUGUCGUGGAUAUCAUAGAAGGUAGUUGUUUAGGCCAUCUUGCCAAAGAUCUGGACCAAAACUUAGUUGAGUUAUUUUCUUUUUUCUUGGAGUUGGUAUCACCAUAAUAAAGCUUUAAAGUUUUGACAAAACAUCUGGACGGACUACGAAGGGAAGAAGAAGAUGAAGAAGGGGGCUGGGGGGGGGGGUGUUAAGAGUUCAAAUCAUCAUGCUUCUAUGAAGAAAUAAUUAUAACUUAAUAUUUAUUGAUCCCCUGGGUCCCGUUUCACUGUCUAAAGUUAACAGUUUAUUCUUGAAGAAAGCAUAGCUACUUUUUAAAGAGAAAGAAGAAAUUUUAUUAAAAAAGGAAGGGGAUACAAUAAACAAAAGGACACGAAGUCAAUCAUCACUAGACUACAAAAUAAAAGACCAAAAGAGCACUUGAAAGUGCAACCCUCUAAUAUCUACACAAAUCGAUAAAGGGCCUCCAUAGCAGAAACCCAAAUAGAAGAAAGAAAAAUAACCUUAUUUAUCAACAACUUGAAAGAUAAAUAACUCCCACUAUACAAUCUAGAAUUACACUCACUUGAAAUUCUCCAUAAAACUGAAUCAAAGCACACUUCCAUAAAUUUUUGCAUACAUCUUGUUUCAAAAUUCUCGAAAACGAAUUAUCAACAUAUGUUUCACUGAAGCAGGGUACCCCCACUCUCCUUUUUAACAUUCCAAAAGAGAGUUUCACAAACUCCAAGCAACAUAAUGUAGAAAUAAAUGAGCAUGCAUUUCAUUACUCUGCUUGCAUGUGAAAUAAAUGUCUGAACAUAGAACACUAGGUCUAUGAUUUAUCUAGAGGUCGUUACUUCAUUAGUAUUCAAUCUUUGUAAAAUUAGAGACCACACAAAAGCCUUUGACUUUGAAGGGAUCGUGAUUUUUCAAAUGUACGAAGCUAAUGGGAAUGGAGUAGGAAUAAUAUAAUAAGUCAAAAGAGAGCAAUGACUUGCAAGAAAAGGAACCAAUCCAGAAGCGCUAAUAGGAGAAGCAGUUGCAUCGAGUCAAGUAAUACAAGUAGAGAUUCCAUUUCAUUAGAUUUCAAAUUGGAGAUAUUCGUGAAGAAAUGAAAAUCCCAAGAAAAGUAGGUCCUAUAACGCUUUAAAACAUUACAUAUAAAACCUGGGUUAAAUACACUUUUUCCCACUCUACUUGACCUUAGUUUACAAAUGUAUCACUGAACUAAAUUUUUUUACGGUCAACUCAUUGAACUAUAACUCUUUUACAAAAAUUGAAAUUUUGGUCUAAAAGUGUUAAAAGUUAACGGAAUGUUUAUGUGGCACCACAUCAGAUGCUUAGGUGGAUAUUUAACUUAAAAAACACAACAAUUGUCAAUUCUAUAACAAAUAGUUAAACAAAAUAUAAAUCAAAUUAAUGUACAUAAUAAAUAAUUAAAUUAAUUAAUGUAUAAUUUCUACAAAUGUAUUUAUAUAAAAUUAAUGAAUUCAUAUUAUUUUUUAAUUUUUAAAUACUUUAAGUUCACUUUAAAAAUAUAAAAUUAUCUAAUAUUUUGAAAUGGAGGUAUUAUCAUUAUUAUUAUUAUCUCUUUGUUUUUUUCUUGAAAAUCCUAAAUGUCAUCAAGAAGAAAUAUUUAAAAAGUCAUGGGAAAUUUAGAAAAAAUUGCUAAUUUUUUUAUUUAAAAAAUAUAUUUUUAAUAUUUUGCAAAGUUAAAACUAAUGAUAUUUACAUAAUUAAACCUAAUUAUCUAAAAUCUAAUCUCUUCUUUUUCUUUUUUUUCUUCUUUUUUAUUUUGGCUAUUUUUUUUAAAUUUCACCUACUUAUCUGGGUUUAUUUUUUCAGAUUUGAUCUAGUUCACCGUGUACAAUAUCUCCUCCAUCGUCAUCUUCCCCUUUGACAAAUCCAUUAUUGUCGCCGGUGGACUCAAUCCAUCGAGCCUGAUUGGAUUUCUAACAAUGUCCAUACCUCGCAACCUCUCCAUCAACUUUCCACCCAUCGGCAACGAAAGAAGCUUAGGCACUGCCGUUGAGGAUUGGUACAACGGCCGUCUCUGGAGGAAUCUCUAGAAGAUCGAAUCGGCUAGGGGCUCUUUCGGAUCUAGUUGGCAACAAAUCUUUGAAAAAUUUGAAUUUCAAAUUCAAUUUGUUUGAACUCAUUUGAAACCCCAAUUUGUAGAACAUCUCUCUGUCAAUCUCUUUCAAGUGGGUUUAGAAACCCAUUUGAAACCCUAAUUUUUUUCAGGUACAACAUACUUGCCCUUUUAGAUCCAUCCAGUUCCUCUUUCAUCCUAUACAUUCAUGUACCACAAUCAUCUCCGCCGCCCGCCUCUACCCGCCACCGCAUAAUGGCUUCGUUGCAGGAAUCGCAAGAAGAAGAAGGGGUGAACGAUGAAUCUGGUGGGGAUGAAUCUGGUGGGGUGGUAGGUAAUACAAUAAAUGAAAGAAAAAAAUAUUAAUAAUUUUUCAUUAUUAAUGUUGAAGGUAUUAAACCUAUUUACUUUCCAAUGUGGCAACAUUUAGGAUGAUAUCACAUGACGUGGAUGUUCAUUUAAAAGUGACGUGGAUGUUCGGUUAAAAAUCAACUUAUUUAACGGAUUUUGUAACGAUUUGAAAAUAAUUUAUAGUUCAAUGAGUCGAUUGUAAAAAAUUUCAGUUCAGUGAUGCAUUUGUAAACUGAGGUCAAGUAGAGUGGGGAAAAGUGGAUUUAACCCAUAAAACCUACUGAUGAACAUUGACAACAAAAAGUCAUUACCCAGAGUGUCUCCAUUAAUUAUUGUUUUAUCAAGUCCGUAGUUGUGAUUGCAUCAACCCAAGUUUCACCAUUGCACAAAACAAUGGAAUAUACUAAUUGAUACCAUAAUUUGGAGAAGUACGCCAUAAGCUGUAUACUCUUAUGUAUAGAAAUCUCUAGAGAUCAAAGUACUUUUCACUCCACAAACAUAUGAACACAUGUAAGGUAUUAUAUGAGGAUCCGAUGAACUUGUAAAACCAUGUGUAGACUUUACCAAAACUGCUGUCUUGACUAUGCCAAGUUCUGAAUGGGCCUAUUUAGCAAAUAUAAUUCCAAUGAAUCUAUUACUCUUACUUCUUAUGAUUUAUGUCAUGUAUCUAUUAAGAGUUCUUGUGCUUGAGUUGAUGCCAGCAUACUAUUAAGUAUUACGUAUUAAAGUAUUAAAUGAAUACCGCUUAGCUUUUAUAUUAGUGUCAUUUCUCGGAAUAAGUCCACUAUUGGUCUUCACUUAAAAGCUAAAAAGUUUGAUAACUAGCAUUGAAGUGUUGGUAGCUUACAUAAAUGUGAUCUAAGAUGUUGUACCAUGUGUAAAGACCAAGAAAAUUAUUAUGUUUAGCGUGCAAUCUAUGAUCUAAGCUUCAUUGUUUUCUUUACUUAUAACAUUUCCAAUUUUCCGUAUCUCUUCUUUUCUUAUUACCAUAUCUUAUGUUUAUAGUUUGAUUAAUUUCCUCGUAGUGUGAGAAUGGGCAUACAGCUUGCUCCAGCUGCUGCAGCAAGCUUAGGAACAAGUGCCCUUCAUGCUCUUUGCCUAUUGGCUAUAAUCGUUGCCGGGCCAUUGAGAAGGUUCUUGAAUCAAUCAAAAUCUCAUGUCCGAACAUGAAGUAUGGGUGCAAAGACACAGUGAGCUACAGCAAGAAACAGGAGCAUGAGCAGACUUGCAUCCAUGAACCAUGUUCAUGUCCUCAUCCUGGCUGUGCCUUUGUUGGUUCGUCCAAGUGGUUAUACCAACACUUCAACUACAUGCAUCCUGAUAUUGCCAAGCACUUCUGCUGUGACUCCUUUUUUUCUGUUUAUAUAGACACCAAUACGAAAUACAUAAUUCUUCAGGAAGAAGUUGACCGGACACUUUUCAUCCUUAAUUAUGGUGUUCAAAGUAUUGGAAAUGUGGCCAAUAUUACAUGUAUUGCGCCGAGCUCAUUACAGAAAGGGUUUUCGUACGAGCUUAUAGCAAUUAAAGGGGACAGCUCUGUUAAAUUAAAGUCUUUCACAGAGAGCAUGCCGAGAUGGUCCGAACAUCUUCCUCAGAAGGCAUUUCUUCUGGUUCCAAAUGAUUUUCUUAAUUCUUCUUCACUGAACCUCUUCCAGAUUUGCAUACGGAGGAACAAGGAAAUUCCUGGCAGGACUCCGAAGUCUUGACAUGUAUAGUUGUCAAACUAGCAAUAGAGAUCGACUUAUUGCAUUUAAUCUGCUAUUCAAAGUUGAGUCGGGUAAUAAAAUUUCAAUCUGUUUGUUUUACAUUUUUUCUAGUUUUAACGAACAAACAAACAAGCAAGCAAGUUUGUCAGUUGUAUUAUAAAUUCUGGCGUUGUCAACUGUUGGACUUGAUCUGUGGUGUGUUUUAAUGUAAUAAUACAACAAUUCCAUUUGGACUUUAUGCUGCUGUUGCACUUUGUUCUGUGACUGUUAUAAUUGUCUGCCCUAUGAGGGUAAGAGAAAAACAUAUGCCUGGUAUUUUUGUUUAGCGGCGGCAGCUGCACAGCACAGGCUUGUAUAUUCUCUUGCCUUCAGUUUUACAUAUUCCUCGUUCAUUUUGUUUUGCAGGAUGUUGUUUGGGGGUUUCGGGUGACUACUGCUGCUACUGUUAUACAAUUCCCUUACUAUGAUGAUAUGUUCAAAUCUUGUGAGUUAUACAUGAUGCUGUUCUUCUAAUUGAGAGCAACCAACCAGCGAGUGGUGAUAUUAUCAAACUCCCUAGGGCCUCGGAAGCCAAAUUAAGGAUGAGAAAGCAGACAAUGAUCUGAACAAAACUAUUUGCCCUCUGCCACAAAUCAAAAUGUAAUCAAAGGGAGGGACUCUCUCCGUCAGUCUCUUGACACAGUAAAAAGAAGAUGAGAAAGGCAUAAACCAGCUUCUAAACUAUAAUUAUCUACUGUAUAAAGUUGGAGGAAAUUGGACAGUUAUUUUUUGUUUUAACAGCAGAAGUGAAAACUUUUCUAUUUCUAUUUUUACCCUUUUCAUCUCUAUUAAUUUUCCUAUACAUACCAGUUAUUUUUUUAUUCCUAUCUUUUCUCCUUCCACCCUCCAUCCUCCACCCUGUUAUCCCUUUUCCACUCUUUUAAUUCUUUUACAUUAAAUCACACAAUCUUUUCUUGACAGGUCAAGGGUAGGGGUGAAAAUGAUCCUGAAUCGAUUCGAACACCAUAAUGAUCAAGCUGACUCAGAUCAAAAAAUUUGUGUUCAAGUUAGACUCGAAUUCGAACUGAUAAUUUUCAAGAUUGCUCAAGUUCGACUCAACUCGUUUUUACAACGAGUAAUUCGCGAGCCUUUCUAUUCAAGCUCGAGUCUCAGAUGGAUCACACCAAAAUGAUACAUAAAAUAAAAACUUAAAAAAACUUCAAUUUCAUUUAUAUAUAAAAAUACAUGUGUUCAAACGAUGGCAAAAUCUACAUUUGUUUCUAAACAUAAUUACAAAUGCUCAUAGAACAGGAUAUCACAACUCAUCAUUUAACUUUUUGUAUCUUUCUUUAAAAACUUCUGUAUAUCUUUCUUUGAGUUUGAUCUGUACACCUCAUAACGUGGGCAAUCAGGCAUUGGGCAUGAAAUGCAUGUCCACAUGGAAAGACAUAGAAAGGGACCAUUUGCCCCACUGACACCCCUAACCAUGUUAUACUCUCCACCUACAGACAAAAUCUUCCUUCUGCAAACCUGAUGGAUCCCAAGGGUAGCAAGUGAGAAACAGAUUUCAGAUAUAGAGAAAAGUUGGUAAAAACUAAAAACCAUCAUUAAGCAGCCCAGGAGAAAGAGUGAGAACAAGAAGAAAAUCUAUAAAACGAUCAAAUGGGGAAAGGGUGAGAGUAAAAAUUGAAAGAGUGAAGUAGAGGUCAAUUCUAUAUUCCUCUGUAUAAAACAAAAGCAUACAAAUUCUAUUUGCCAGAAUAUAGUUUUACGUAAAAUUGAAUCCAAACACGUUGAUGAACCAACUUGAAGGCUAAACUUGUGAGUACAAUGAACAGUAUGAACUUAAUGGCUUACCCCAAUGACUUCUUCUGCUUGUGGUCUCUGGUCCUUUGGGCGAUCACAGAAAUUCUUGUACUCCUCCCCAUCUCGAAUGGCAAAUGUACUUAGCUGAAUGAGUCAGAUAUAGUUGGAUAUUACUUAUACUAAAAAUACAAGAUACAAAAUCAACUUACAAAUAAUUUAGAAAGAACAACAAAUGAAUGCUGAAAGGAGAUUAACAUAUGUAUGCAUAUAGAACAGAGAAUUUCUAAAUAACAUAAAAUGAAUGAAUCCCACCUCAACAUCACAUUUCAUCUCCUUUGGACAAGGCUUCACAUUCUCUAGCUGUAAUAAAUCUGUAAGGCUCAUCUUUGUGUAGCCAGUACUGUAAUAAAUCUGUAAGGCUCAUCUUUGUCGUAACGAGUAUUACCUUCAACUAAAUACAUUCUGAAAGUAUGAGCCAAUGAAUUGUUUAUUUGACUUUAAAAAGUCAAAAUUAAAUAUUUAAUUUAAGACAAAAAGAGCAUAAUUUAUUCGAAAUUAAAAAUACCCAUUAAUAACAGCACACAGCAAAUAGAAUGAGAGGAAGAGAGAUGUGAAAAAAUGGAAGGAAAGGCUCAGAUCUGUAAUAUAUCAGGCAAGAGGGUGACACCGCCAUGACUGCAACCACCAGUUGCAUGAGAGAGGAAUAAUAACCCAAUCAAAUCUCUCACAUACCCUCCGGGUCGCCCCGCCAAGAUACGGGUCACAUUAUCUCACUGCCCGAUUUAACCCAGAAAAAUUGAUUCAUCAUCAUCAUAGCCUCUUCCAUAUUUGCCAUCUCUAAGUCAUUGUAAAAUAAGUCAUUGCCGAACAGACCCUAAGAAUAAGCUAAAAGCUGUUUUGAAUAAGCUGAAACAAACAAACAUGGCCUUGAACACAAACAAGGGCUGUUGAAUUGUGUAGCUGGAAAAUGAAAUCAUUGGCUCUUUUUAACAGAGAGGGGGGCAACCACCCUUUGAAACAUCCCUUCCCUCUGGAGCCUCAUUCAAUUUUCUGAGUUUUCUAAGCCCUAAUUUUAGGCUCAAACACUGC